CCUACGGGUGGCAGCAGUAGGGAAUAUUCCACAAUGGACGAAAGUCUGACGGAGCAACGCCGCGUGAGUGAAGAAGGGUUUCGGCUCGUAAAGCUCUGUUGGUAGGGAAGAAAGAUAGAGGUAGUAACUGGCCAUUAUUUGACGCUAAUUACUUCGAAGGUCACGGCUAACUACGUGCCAGGAGCGGCGGUAAUACGUAGGUGGCCAGCGUAGGCCGGAUUUAUUGGGCGUAAAGGGAGUGCUGGCGGUUAAAUAAGUCAGAUGUGAAAGCCUUCGGCUCAACCUGAGGAUUGCAUCAGAAACGGGUGAACUUGAGUGCAGAAGAGGAGGGUGGAACUCCAGGUGUAGCGGUGAAAUGCGUAGAUAUAAGGAAGAACACCAGUGGCGAAGGCGGCCCUCUGGUCUGCAACUGACGCUGAGGCUCGAAAGCGUGGGUAGCGAACAGGAUUAGAUACCCUUGUAGUC
rnacentral:rRNA from 1 species